rnacentral:rRNA from 1 species
ACGCUGGCGGCAUGCUUUACACAUGCAAGUCGGACGGCAGCACAGAGAAGCUUGCUUCUUGGGUGGCGAGUGGCGAACGGGUGAGUAAUAUAUCGGAACGUACCGAGUAAUGGGGGAUAACUAAUCGAAAGAUUAGCUAAUACCGCAUAUUCUCUGAGGAGGAAAGCAGGGGACCUUCGGGCCUUGCGUUAUUCGAGCGGCCGAUAUCUGAUUAGCUAGUUGGUGGGGUAAAGGCCUACCAAGGCGACGAUCAGUAGCGGGUCUGAGAGGAUGAUCCGCCACACUGGGACUGAGACACGGCCCAGACUCCUACGGGAGGCAGCAGUGGGGAAUUUUGGACAAUGGGCGCAAGCCUGAUCCAGCCAUGCCGCGUGUCUGAAGAAGGCCUUCGGGGUGUAAAGGACUUUUGUCAGGGAAGAAAAGGCUGUUGCUAAUACCGACAGCUGAUGACGGUACCUGAAGAAUAAGCACCGGCUAACUACGUGCCAGCAGCCGCGGUAAUACGUAGGGUGCGAGCGUUAAUCGGAAUUACUGGGCGUAAAGCGAGCGCAGACGGUUACUUAAGCAGGAUGUGAAAUCCCCGGGCUCAACCUGGGAACUGCGUUCUGAACUGGGUGACUAGAGUGUGUCAGAGGGAGGUAGAAUUCCACGUGUAGCAGUGAAAUGCGUAGAGAUGUGGAGGAAUACCGAUGGCGAAGGCAGCCUCCUGGGAUAACACUGACGUUCAUGCUCGAAAGCGUGGGUAGCAAACAGGAUUAGAUACCCUGGUAGUCCACGCCCUAAACGAUGUCAAUUAGCUGUUGGGCAACUUGAUUGCUUAGUAGCGUAGCUAACGCGUGAAAUUGACCGCCUGGGGAGUACGGUCGCAAGAUUAAAACUCAAAGGAAUUGACGGGGACCCGCACAAGCGGUGGAAUGAUGUGGAUUA